rnacentral:rRNA from 1 species
AACGAACGCUGGCGGCAUGCCUAACACAUGCAAGUCGAACGAGACCUUCGGGUCUAGUGGCGCACGGGUGCGUAACGCGUGGGAACCUGCCCUUAGGUUCGGAAUAACUCCCCGAAAGGGGUGCUAAUACCGGAUAAUGUCUUCGGACCAAAGAUUUAUCGCCUUUGGAUGGGCCCGCGUUGGAUUAGCUAGUUGGUAGGGUAAAAGCCUACCAAGGCGACGAUCCAUAGCUGGUCUGAGAGGAUGAUCAGCCACACUGGGACUGAGACACGGCCCAGACUCCUACGGGAGGCAGCAGUGGGGAAUAUUGGACAAUGGGCGAAAGCCUGAUCCACCAAGGCCGCGUGAGUGAUGAAGGCCUUAGGGUUGUAAAGCUCGUUUACCCGGGAUGAUAAUGACAGUACCGGGAGAAUAAGCUCCGGCUAACUCCGUG